AAAGGAAGCUUCCAUGUUCACACCACACCUACCCCAUAACUCAUGCUAUAAAUAGAGGUGGAUACCUCAGUUGGAAGGCAUCCUGAAAAUUAGUGUUCAUCACCAAGAAGAGUGAAAACAAGAGUGAUCCUAGAGAGUGAUCCUUGUUUGUGAGUUUGAGAGUUUUUUUUAUGAGUUUUGUAAAUACUCGUGUAAUCUAUUCUUGUGAGUAAUAGAGGUUGUUUUUCUCUCAAAUUCGUGUAUACCAACGCCCAAUUGAUUCUAGGUAACCCAAUAAGUGGUAUCAGAGCUUGGUUAUAGGCGUUGGUUGAAAUUUUGGGUGACCGGCCGAAUUUGGGUUUUCGGAGUUUUACUCAAAAUCCAAUUUUGAGUGCACCAUUGGAUUCGUCUCGUCGAACCG
rnacentral:lncRNA from 1 species